AACGCGAAGAACCUUACCUGGGCUUGACAUGUGAGUGACCGGCGUGGAAACACGUCUUCCCUUCGGGGCACUUUCACAGGUGGUGCAUGGCUGUCGUCAGCUCGUGUCGUGAGAUGUUGGGUUAAGUCCCGCAACGAGCGCAACCCCCGUCGCAUGUUGCCAGCAUUUAGUUGGGGACUCAUGCGAGACUGCCGGUGACAAACCGGAGGAAGGUGGGGAUGACGUCAAGUCCUCAUGCCCCUUAUGUUCAGGGCUACACACGUGCUACAUUGGCGCAUACAGAGGGCUGCGAUACCGCGAGGUGGAGCGAAUCCCUUAAAGUGCGUCUCGGUUCGGAUUGCAGGCUGAAAUUCGCCUGCAUGAAGGCGGAGUUGCUAGUAAUCGCGGAUCAGCAUUGCCGCGGUGAAUACGUUCCCGGGCCUUGUA
rnacentral:rRNA from 1 species